UAGGGAAUCUUCGGCAAUGGACGAAAGUCUGACCGAGCAACGCCGCGUGAGUGAAGAAGGUUUUCGGAUCGUAAAACUCUGUUGUUAGAGAAGAACAAGGACGUUAGUAACUGAACGUCCCCUGACGGGAUCUAACCAGAAAGCCACGGCUAACUACGUGCCAGCAGCCGCGGUAAUACGUAGGUGGCAAGCGUUGUCCGGAUUUAUUGGGCGUAAAGCGAGCGCAGGCGGUUUCUUAAGUCUGAUGUGAAAGCCCCCGGCUCAACCGGGGAGGGUCAUUGGAAACUGGGAGACUUGAGUGCAGAAGAGGAGAGUGGAAUUCCAUGUGUAGCGGUGAAAUGCGUAGAUAUAUGGAGGAACACCAGUGGCGAAGGCGGCUCUCUGGUCUGUAACUGACGCUGAGGCUCGAAAGCGUGGGGAGCAAACAGG
rnacentral:rRNA from 2 species